AUUGAACGCUGGCGGCAGGCCUAACACAUGCAAGUCGAACGAGUGGCGGACGGGUGAGUGAUGUCUGGGAAACUGCCUGAUGGAGGGGGAUACCUACUGGAAACGUUAGCUAAUACCGCAUAACAUCAGAUGUGCCCAGAUGGGAUUAGCUUGUUGUUGGGGUAACGGCUCACCAAGGCGACGCUCCCUAGCUGGUCUGCGAGGAGGACCAGCCACACUGGAACUGAGACACGGUCCAGACUCCUACGGGAGGCAGCAGUGGGGAAUAUUGCACAAUGGGCGCAAGCCGGAUGCAGCCAUGCCGAGUGUAUGAAGAAGGCCUGCGGGUUGUAAAGUACUUUCAGCGGGGAGGCGUUACCCGCAGAAGAAGCACCGGCUAACUCCGUGCCAGCAGCCGCGGUAAUUC
rnacentral:rRNA from 1 species